AGAGUUUGAUCAUGGCUCAGAUUGAACGCUGGCGGCAUGCCUUACACAUGCAAGUCGAACGGCAGCACGGGUGCUUGCACCUGGUGGCGAGUGGCGAACGGGUGAGUAAUACAUCGGAACAUGUCCUGUAGUGGGGGAUAGCCCGGCGAAAGCCGGAUUAAUACCGCAUACGAUCUACGGAUGAAAGCGGGGGACCUUCGGGCCUCGCGCUAUAGGGUUGGCCGAUGGCUGAUUAGCUAGUUGGUGGGGUAAAGGCCUACCAAGGCGACGAUCAGUAGCUGGUCUGAGAGGACGACCAGCCACACUGGGACUGAGAUACGGCCCAGACUCCUACGGGGCGCAGCAG
rnacentral:rRNA from 1 species